AUCUUUUCUGGCGCUGGCUCCUCUUGGUCAGUGCGGUUUCGCCUUUAUGGUGGUGGAGUACGCCCAAGCUGUGGGACUAUCAGUCCUCCCUGUGCAGCCAGUUCAGAGAGGCUGCACACUCUCUCGGCUCACUGCAACCUCUGCCUCCAGGGUCAAGCAGUUCUCCUGCCUCAGCCUUCCGAGUACCUGGGAUUACAGGACAGCAAAUAACCCUGUACAAAGGGGAAUGGAGAUUGCCUCUAUCCACCUAGAUUCAUAAGAUGCCCUGAGGUGAUCUUGGCAUCACGGAAGGUAUGCACAUCACACCAUCAGCUUCAGAGAAUGGCAGCCAUUUAUUUGUCCCGUGGGUUUUUUUCCAGGGAACCAAUCUGCCCUUUUGAAGAAAAGACAGAGGUAGAAAGGAUGGUGGAGGACUACCUGGCAAACGGUUAUCAGUGAAUAUUGGUGGAAGUGUUCAUUGGCUCAAACCAGCAUGUGUAUGAUGACAUAGGAUUCAGUGACAUUUGAUGAUGUGGCUGUGGACUUCACCCCAGAGGAGUGGGC
rnacentral:sRNA from 1 species